GUGUGACUGGUGACUCCUGCACCAAGGACACAAACGUCAUCUGGAUUCACUUUUAUAUUUUUAUGUGCACCAGGACAAAGUUCAGCGUUAACCAGAGGAAGGUUGAUCUGCAGCGCGUUCUAACGGAGGAUUAAUCUCAGUCCAACGGAUCUAAACUUAUACAUGUGUGAAAUCUGCACUGAUCUGAACCUGGAGUCUGAGGAAAGCAGAUGUAACUAUGACGCCCUGUGACGGAUACGAGCUCAGAAACCCGAUGGAUGAGACCUUCACCAGGCACCGGACCGACCCCAGGCCUGAAGAAACCAACCGGCCGACGAACCCUCCAGAGUUUCCAGCCACUCAGCCACAGAUGAAGAUCAGUCUUUGCCAAGAUUUCACCUUCAACUCACAACCUGCAGUCAGCAAACUCUCGUGUGUGAGGACGAACAGCAGAGGAUACACUCCCGAUUUCUAGAUUCCACCCUGAACCUUGAGGGUCUUUGGAUGGUGGGAUGAAACUGGGAGACCAGCACAGGGAGAACAUGGAACCCAGAACCCUCCGGCUGAGACACAUCACUAAACGUGUAGUGAGUCUUUGAAGCCUCUGGCUGGGAUUGUGUGUCUGGGCUGAGGCGUCUCUCCAGCAUGUUGGACGUCCAGACUCCUUCAUGUGGCUAAAGCUGUUAUCAAACAAGCUGCCGUGAAGCUGAUCAUCUGACUCGUAGCAAAGAGCAAAGCACUAUCUCUUUUUUAUUAUAAUUCUCUGUGACAGAGACUUUAAAUGACGUCAGAAAACUUUAUUUAUCCCACGAGGCCAAUUCAGUUUACAGCUACCACUCAUUCAUAAAACAAUCAUUCAUUAGACACACAACUCUGAAUCAUCAGUAAUCUGCAGCAGGUGCAUGUGCAAAUAUGCAAAAAAUAAGUGUCUGAACGAGGAAAAGAAUCAAUGAUAAAUGAAUAGCAUAAUAAUAAAAAUAAAGAGAAGACUUGUGCGUUAGUGAAGCCACAUUUUAACUACAGUUCAUCUCUCUCAUUGUAGAAUUUGAAUGUUUAUUUUGAGCCUAAUGUAGCAUUAUGUUAUUUUUAUUCAUCAGCUCUUAUGUGUCUAGAGAGAUCUUUUGGUAAAAAGGUAUUUAGAGAGGAGCUGCUGCGUGUUUCCAUGUUUGUGGAGGGGGAGGAAUAUUCCACUGGUCGCUAUCUGCAAACUCACCACAAGGCGGCGCUAAAUCCCACCCAGCGAGUCAGAGUCCGGCUUCGAUGAGGACAUAUUGAACCUUUAGUUAGUCAGAGCCAGUGCUGUAAUGAUUGCUUUACUGGAACAAUUAAUUAUUAAUAUAUCUGAUUUUUUUUAUUGCCGUUUUUAUUUUUGUGUCAUUCACGUCAGUAAUUCUGUGAGCUAAUAAUUUACUAUAGAGUCAGAUGAACAAGAGUUAAUAGAGUGUUGAACUGUAUUUGGUCGUUUGAUAAAGGGGGAAAUCCUGCUUUUAUAAAGUAUGUUCAUGUCUAAAACUUCAUCAUCAUCAUCAUUCUUUGUUUUAUAAAAACAGAAAUAUGAAGCACAGACUGAGCCACGUCGCACCAGAAUCUAAUGUUUCUGGGUUCAAAGUGAAUCAUAAACUGAUCCGUUUAUUGUAGAUGUGGUGAUUUUAACCUGAACAUCAAUAGAUCCUGUUUUUACUGUAUUUUCUAAGGUUUUGUUAUCAUGUUCAUGUUAUUGUGUGUAUCCACUGCCUGUUUAUACCUGUGCAUAUAUUCGUGGCAUCGUUUCAUGAAUAAUAAUGAAUAUUAUUAAUUAAUACCUGUUAAUAUACGACAACGUGGAUAUUUACAGAAAACGUUCAAUACUGUAAAAAACAAUGUUCAUGUUGCUGUUUCUGAUCCGUUAUAGCGACACCAAUAAAAGUCAUGUUUCUUAAAUCA